rnacentral:rRNA from 1 species
AUGCCCAGCGUCGGGCAGGCCAUCUUCUGCAGGUGGAUGGCCAUAGGAAACGUCCUGGGCUAUAUGGCCGGUGCCGACAGUGACUGGCACGUGUGGCUCCCUUGGCUCAAAACUACGGCGUGCUGCGAAGCCUGCGCAAAUCUCAAGGGCGCCUUCCUCACAGCUGUGAUCGUCAUUAUCAUCAGUACGUCCAUCACCAUGUAUAUUGCUGAAGAGAAGCAGCUCCACAAUGCCGACCUGGAGGCCUCCUCUGGCCGUCGUGGAUGCAUAUGCGGCUUUGGCGACUUCUACAAGAGCUUGAAGAACCUUCCCCCAUCUAUGUUCAAAGUGCUCGCCGUCACGGCUGUAACCUGGCUGGCGUGGUUCCCCUUCAUCCAGUAUGGCACUGACUGGAUGGGCAAGGAGAUCUACCACGGCGAGCCGCAGGGGCCCAAGGUGGCCGUCUACUACGCCGGCGUCCGCGAGGGCGCCGUCGGUCUGCUGCUCUCUUCUAUGUGCCUCUUGGCCGCCUCCUUCAACACCCCCCACCUUUGCGGUAGGCUCACGUCCAGGGUCGUGUGGUCCUUAAGCAACUUCAUCCUAUUUGGCAUCAUGACGGCCAUGGUGAUCCUUGGCUUGGUCUCCACCAAGGGGUACAACGCGUCUUUCACAGCUGGCCUCUCCGGCCCUGACCCCAAGCUCAGGGUCAUCGCGCUCUCCCUCUUCGCGCUCAUCGGAAUCCCACAGGCCGUGUUGUUCAGUGUACCGUGGGCUGUUGCUUCUAAGGUUGCCGACGACCGUGGCCAAGGCCUCGCCAUUGGUGUCCUCAACAUUGCCAUCAUCGUGCCGCAGCUGAUUAUCGUGCUCACCGCUGGCCCGAUCGACAAAGCCUUUGGAAAGGGCAACACACCGGCAUUCGGCGUUGGUUGCGCCUUCGCCUUCAUCUGUGCAGUCCUUGCGCUCAUCCUGCUUCCCAAGACAAGAGGCACGAGAGGGACGUCCAAUGCCACCGCCAUGGCCUCCAGGGAGCGCUGA